CAGAGGUGCAAGCGUUGUUCGGAAUUACUGGGCGUAAAGCGUGCGUAGUCGGUAUUGAGAGUCACGGGUGAAAUCCCCACGCUUAACGUGGGAACUGCCUGUGAGACCUCAGUACUAGAGUGUGAGAGGGGAUAGUGGAAUGCCAAGUGUAGCGGUGAAAUGCGUAGAGAUUUGGCGGAACACCGGUGGCGAAGGCGGCUAUCUGGCUCACAACUGACGAUCAGGCACGAAAGCGUGGGAGCAAACAGGAUU
rnacentral:rRNA from 1 species